CCUGAGAAACCCAAAAGAUCGAAUGGGGAGAUUCAUCGUCAGCGAUCCUGGCACGUGCGCGGUUCGUGAUGCCCUAAGGCUUCGGCCUUGAGGUACACGUCCGUGUGGGUUUUUUGCCUGGUGUCGUCGGCGUGCACUUCUCCCCUAGUAGGACGUCGCGACCCGUUGGGUGUCGGUCUACGGCCCGGAUGGGUGCCUGUCAUGUGUACGACGCUUCGCGGCGUCAUGUGGCUGACAGACCUCCGGUUGCCUGACCAGCUGCCCGGCGGUACUCGCACGGUAUCGAGCCGCAAUUUCGAACUGCGUCCGGCCCGCCGCAAGCGAGGCCAGUGUUACCCGGAUGUACGGACCUGGUGCCGUCGCCGGGCCUGGCCAGCUGUUGGCUGGCGGUGUCCUGGGACUGGCCCUUUAACACAAUGAUACCGGUCGGCGACGCUACUGCUUUGGGUACUUUCAGGA
rnacentral:rRNA from 1 species